CAUCAAAUGCUAGCAUUAAAACUCGGUACGACUGCAGUCUGUUAAGGAAGACAUGCAAGGUAGAUGUUAUUGCCCCUGUGGCAAAUGUAACAGAACAGGAAAUAUAUCUUUAAUUCAUAAUAUUAACAUAAAUUGAGAUUAACGGCAGUUUAACUUGGCACAACUGAGAAGAGAACCCAUGACCUAUUUUGUCAUCCCUCCUGAGGAAACAAAGACCUUUAGCAAAGGAGUGAGGAAAGUAUCCUCCCAUACAUUUUCAGUUCAAGUAGAUACUCUACCAUUAAGCUUCUUUUGGAAGAUCUGAAAGUACUUUUAUGCAAUGAGUGAUUACAGACUAUCCUCCCCAGCUUUUGAAGACUGCUUGGGAAGACUAUAUUGUUCAGUGAGUGUCUGGAAGGAACUCAAAGUGCUCAGACAACAGAUGUCUGGGCUGCAAACAUUGCAGAGCACUGUUACAUAUGUAAAGUCACUUCAGUACAGUUGCUUUAAGCUUUAAGCUUUGCUGGAGGGGACUAAUACCAAGCACAUCCUCUAAGGGCUCACAGAAGUUGUCUACUAACAGCUCAAACCUUACAUCUCACUUAUCAUCAACCAGACCUACUGAAGUUGUCCAAAAGGGAUCUCAAAGAGUCACACAGAUGAAUUACUGAAAUGUCAUCUUCACAGAUGAUGCCAUCUGUUGAGCUCCAUUGCUUCCAGACAAAGGAAAUUACUACUUUUCAUUGUUUGCAUAACAUGUGGUGGCAAAACUAUGCCUGCAAUUCUCAAAGAUAUAUGCAUUAUGAAUUGCAUAGAGUUCCAAGAUGUCAAAGCGAAGGCAUAUUUCUAUUAAACACCACAAACCCUGAGUAGUAGAUUCCUUGAAUGUGCUCUCCACCCCAUAACACUGUGUUCUGUUGCUUUCAAGACGGCAAUCACUUUUUAAAAAGUAGCUUUCAGACUGGACCAUGAACAACAGGGAAACAAGGUGAAAUACUGGACAAGGUACCUGAAAAGCGGUUAUGUGCUAUUGGGAAGGAAGGGCUGAAUAUGCUCAGCAGAAGUCAUCCCAUACAUCUGCAACUGCCCUUAAUUUUGCACACUGAGUAGGAAGGAGAGACAAAUGGUUAAUGUUACUAAGAGAAGCAGGGCUGUCAAAGGAUGAAAAGCAUCACACAGACACAAUUUUCUCUCAGGACAAAUCCAGCAUCAGCCCACACAUCAAGCUAAGGUAUCAAGGAGAUGUCUUGCCAACAAAAAUGGGCAGAAGCUGUUGCCAGGAUCCUGUUGAAUAUGCAGGAGCUGUGGACUAAUUAAGUGGCAACAUCAACCACAAACUGAAGGUCUUAACAGCAGGUUAGCCUGGCAGCUAUGGGAAAAUAAAUGCCCUCACAGCUGAAAGACAAAAAGCAAUCUUCUUGCAACCUUGCCAAUACGUUCAAAGAGAAAUGUUCACCUGGAUUUGAACUUAAGAAAUUCAUAAAAACAACUUGCAUGCAAGUUCAAAACAGCCUCAUCCCUUCAAAAUACGGGAAUAAUCACUGUGGAAACAGAAUCAAAUCUUUGCACUCUUGGCCGAAAUAACAUCUUUCUUCUGACAAAAUUGUCUCCUUGUAUCAGAUGUUGGUGUCAAGGUGUUGGCGGGGGGGGAGCUGAAGGGGUGGCCUCUGUGAGGAGAGGUUGUGGGCUGCCCCAUGCUAACACAGCUGGUUCCAGUUGGCAGCACAGAGGACCCACGGCAGGGCGCCGCUAAGCCCAGCAGCCAAACUGGUGGUGCCUCUGUGAAAACACCACACAGGCAGAGCAGGAGGGGGAGGAGGGGGAGGGUACAAAAAUCAGAGAGAGAAAGGAAGAAAUAGAAGUGUGCAUGGCCAGAGAAGAAUGAGGGGAAGGAGGUGCUCCAUGAUGCUGGAGCAAAUAUUCCCCUGUGGUGAGGAACAUGCUGGAGUAGAUGGGUAUUUCCUAGCAGAGUUGUGGCUGUGGAAAGCCCAUGCUGGAGCAGGCUUACCCUGAAGGACAGCAUCCCCUGGACAGGACCCAUGAAGGGGAAAAGUGUGAGGCAGAGAGGAGCUGUUAUGGACUGACCACAGCCUCCAUUCCCCCUGAGCCCCUCAAGGUUCAGAGGAGGA